GUUCGGAUUGUAGGCUGAAACUCGCCUACAUGAAGCUGGAGUUACUAGUAAUCGCAGAUCAGAAUGCUGCGGUGAAUGCGUUCCCGGGUCUUGUACACACCGCCCGUCACACCACGGGAGUUGGAGACGCCCGAAGCCGAUUAUCUAACCUUUUGGAAGAAGUCGUCGAAGGUGGAAUCAAUAACUGGGGUGAAGUCGUAACAAGGUAGCCGUAUCGGAAGGUGCGGCUGGAUCACCUCCUUUCUAAGGAGA
rnacentral:rRNA from 1 species